rnacentral:rRNA from 1 species
AUUAGAUAAAGAACCAAUAUUUUUGGUGACUCAUAAUAACUUUACGGAUCACAUUUUUGUGACAUAUCAUUCAAGUUUCUGACCUAUCAGCUUUAGACGGUAGGGUAUUGGCCUACCGUGGCUAUGACGGGUAACGGGGAAUUAGGGUUCGAUUCCGGAGAGGGAGCCUGAGAAACGGCUACCACAUCUAAGGAAGGCAGCAGGCGCGCAAAUUACCCAAUCCUAAUACAGGGAGGUAGUGACAAGAAAUAACAAUACAGGGCCUAACGGUCUUGUAAUUGGAAUGAGUUAAGUAUAAACCCCUUUACAAGUAUCAAUUGGAGGGCAAGUCUGGUGCCAGCAGCCGCGGUAAUUCCAGCUCCAAUAGCGUAUAUUAAAGUUGUUGCAGUUAAAAAGCUCGUAGUUGGAUUUCUGUUAAUUCUUAUAUUUUAUACUACGGUAUUUAUAUAACAUUAACAUAAUUCAUAUUACUUUUUUAGUAUAUGAAAUUUUACUUUGAGAAAAUUAGAGUGCUUAAAGCAGGCAUUUGCCUUGAAUACUCCAGCAUGGAAUAAUAUUUAAGAUUUUUAUCUUUCUUAUUGGUUCUAAGAUAAAAAUAAUGAUUAAUAGGGACAGUUGGGGGCAUUUGUAUUUAACAGUCAGAGGUGAAAUUCUUAGAUUUGUUAAAGACAAACUACUGCGAAAGCAUUUGCCAAGGAUGUUUUCAUUAAUCAAGAACGAAAGUUAGGGGAUCGAAGACGAUCAGAUACCGUCGUAGUCUUAACCAUAAACUAUGCCAACUAGAGAUUGGAGGUUGUUCCUUACU